GGUUCUUUAGUUGUGACAAAAGUACCUCAGUAAUGUAAGAUGUUAGCAAUAGGGGAAACUUUGUAAGCGGUAUAUGGGAACUCCAUACUGUCUUUACAACGUUUUUGUUAAUCUAAAACCAUUCUAAAAUAAAAAGCUUAUGAGUAAAAAAGGGUACAGAGAUUGGGGUCAGAGCAGAGAUGACACAUUUCAGAUCUGUCAUCCCAUGCAGUGCCCCCAGUCGGACUUAUCUAUGUGGCCUCCCUCCAAGUCUAUUCAUCCUUUAAAGAGGCAUAUCCAAGAUGUUGCCCUCUGCACAGUGCUGCGUAUCCAGGUCUCCAUAACAGCUCUGGGGAACUUCACUGCUUCAGCGUCAUCCCAAGGAGAAACCUUUGGGAGGGAAGCAGACAUGGGUGUGAUUUCAGACACAAACACUUGAAACCUGGAGUGGAAGUUCAGUCUCUUAGAAUUUUUUAUUGGCAAGGACCUUAGGUGUUUGUCUCAUUUUUGUAGAUCAGGACACUGGGAGGCUCCCUUUUCUCCUUAGCCAUGGCUGGAGGCCAAGUCCAGCCCUCAAGGAUCAUUGUCAGGACCAACACAAGCUGGACAGCCUUGUUUUCCUACCUCAGAUGGGAAAAAGAAAAGAAACUUGGACCCAGUAAAAAUGAGUAAUUUAUUUAAAGGCCAGUUAGGGCCAGUCAUGGUGACUCAAACCUGUAAUCCCAGCACUUCGGGAAGCUGAGGUAAGAGGACUGCUUGAGCCCAGAAGUUCAAAACCAGCCUGGGCAACAUAGUGAGACCCUGUCUCUACAAAAAAUAAAAAAUUAGCCAGGUGUGGUGGUACAUGCCUGUACUCCUAGCUGCUCAGGAGGCUGAGGCUGGAGGAUCGCUUGGAGCCCAAAAGGCCAAGGCUAUAGUAAGCCAUGGUCAUACCACUGCACUCCAGCCUGGGCAGCAGAGUGAGAACCUGUCUCAAAAUAAAAUAAAACAGGCCAGUUAGUAGCUUCAGACAUAUUU
rnacentral:lncRNA from 10 species